ACUACUUCUGUACAACUGGCAUCACAUUGACUUUGUUAAUCAACAAAAGAAGGUUAAUUCUGCUUUUGCAAUACCCAUGAUAGUCAGCAGAGUAACCUUUUGCCAAUAAUCAAGUAAUGGUGACUUCUAUUCCUACAAUAGGCAUUGUGAUUUCGACUUCUGCAGCAUGAUGAGUUCUACACCUCCAAUAAGUAUGACUGGUGAAUAAGUGACUUUGGGCCAAUGUUCAAGAGAAGGCAUGACUGGUGGAUAAGUGACUGGGUUAAUCAAAAGAGAAGAUGAGUUCCAUUCUUGCAAUAUUCAUGAUAACCAGCAGAGUGACUUUGGACCAAUAAUAAAGAGAUGUUUAUUUCUAUUCCUGUAAUAGCAAAAGACAUGUUGACUUCUAUGCCUGCAAUAUGCUCGAUCAACAGCUUAAAGAGUUUUGAUCCAUCAGCAGGGGAAGGUCUGUUCUACUCCUGUGGCUGAGUGAUCCUGGGGCAAUCACAGGCGGCUGAGUGAGUUGGAUCAAGUUUGGUAGCCUGAAAGAGGACUGCACUAGUCAUCCUUUCUAAAUGAAGUGAGAUGCUAAUAAAGCAGAAUCCCCAGCUGUACACAGAUUUGUACUCUUAUUGAAGCAAAUCAGAUGCAUUUUGCUAUGUGUGUGGACAAUUUAUCAAGACAAGAGUAAAAAAAGUACUCCGUGAAAGAUGUGCGAGGCCUAUAAAGCAUACUUCAACAUACCUGUUGGGGAUGAAGACAAGCCUUGGC